UACGUAGGGGGCGAGCGUUGUCCGGAUUUAUUGGGCGUAAAGGGCGUGCAGGCGGUCUGGUAAGUCGGGGGUGAAAACCCGGGGCUCAACCCCGUGGAUGGCCUCCGAUACUGCUGGACUUGAGUGCUCUAGAGGGUAGUGGAAUGGCCGGUGUAGCAGUGAAAUGCGUAGAGAUCGGUCGGAACACCAGUGGCGAAGGCGACUGCCUGGGGAGUAACUGACGCUGAGGCGCGAAAGCUGGGGGA
rnacentral:rRNA from 1 species